GAAGAGAUGGUUCAAGAAUGAUUUUUAAGAUUUGGAUUAAACAAUUAAAUGAAAAUUUCAUUUGCUGAUAUGGCAAUGGUGACAAGUCAACAACACACAUUUUUUGAGUAUGCACUAAAGUCUAGGCAUCAUUCUAAAGAUGCUGGUUUAUAUAUCCAUGUCUUCACAAAAUCUACAAUUCGGCAGAGCGUUUCUCAAGUGUGUCCUCUGGAACACCUGCAUCAGAAUCAUAUAGGUGAUUAUUAAUAUUGUCAAAUUUUAGAUCUUAACCAAAGAGAAUGAAUUAGAAUCACUUGGGCUAGGACCCAAGAAUAGCUUUAUAACAAGCUCAUCAGAGAGAAAAGAGCUUGUUUACUGAAGUUUGAAAUAUUGAUCUAAUGGUUCUUUAUUAUUCUAAUUUUAUAACUUGUAGUUUUCCUGCAUUGUGAUGCAGACAUAUCUUACCUCUUACAUUACAAAGUUGCUGUUUAGCUCACACAAUGAAACUCUGUGUGUGUAUGCGUGUGUUUUUUAAAGGAGAUUAAUGGUAAUUUUUAGAGCAAUGGAAUAAAGAGUGGACUUCAAGAAAAGUGAAACUAACUAUAUGAAUAAUAUUUCCCAGAAUGGAAUUAUCAGAGAUAUGAGCAAGGAAGAGUAUUCAUGGUUUCUGUGAGAGGCAAGUGGCCAAAGAUUUGAGUGAAUAGAAGUACUUUCAAGUGGAUUUAAGGACAAAGCACAAGUGCAUAUAGGACGAGUUUGUUCUCAUGCAUGUGAUGGAAAAGACUUCCCAAAGUGAUGAAAAGAAGACAGAAGAGGGAGACACAUUGCUUCUCUGUAGAACAUCCUACAAGCUGCACAUAGCGUUUCUCCAACAUUUCACAGACACGAACUGACUCCAAUGGUGAAACCUAAAUAGAAAAGAGACUGCACAAUGAAGUCUAUAGGUAGGUUAACCUAUGGCCAACUAAAGCUUCUAUUACUGUAGAAAAAGGAAAGCAACCAAAAAAAUAGUGAAAACAAGGGACUGGCAUUGUGGCACAGUGGGUUAAGCUGUGGCCUGUGAUGUGGGCAUCCUAUAUGGGAACCAGGUAGAGUCUGGGUUACUCCACUUCCAAUCCAGUUCCCUGCUAAUGUGCCUGGAAAAGCAGCAGCAGAUGGCACAAGUGGUUGGGUCCUUGCAUCCACAUGGGAGACUCAGUUGAAAUUCUGGGCUCCUGGCCUCAGCCAGACCCAACCCUGGCCAUUGUGGCCAUUUGGGGGAGUGAAUCAGCCUAUGGGAGAUUUCUCUUUCUCUUUCUGUCUCUCCCUCACUGUAAUUCUGCCUUUCCAAUAAGGAAGUAAAAAAAAAUCUUUAAGACAGAAAAAGGAGAACAGAAGUUUGAGGAAUGAACUAUUAGUUCUAUUGGAACAAUAGAGGAAAUGAUAAAUAUUUUGUUAUUACAUACCAUGUGGUGCUUCCUUUGUGUUUCACUCUUUCCCUUACCUCUAACACAUUUUACUCAAAAUACAAUUCAUCAAAACUUGACUCAAGCUUUAAGGUUCAGCUUAAAUUUCAUUUCCUUUCUUCCCUGUGUAGAAAAAAGAAACCUUUUCAAACAAUAAUUCUGUUUAGCCAUCUUUUUUCCAUCCAUCUUGCUGUGGAAAAUGGGGAAAUACAAAAAGCAAAGUAUGAUUUUCACUUGUUCUGUUCCAUGGGCUGUGAGCUGAAGUAACGCAGACUCUUCCUCUGGCACUGUGAAUGUGAAACCUUGUGUUUUAGUUGAGGAAGCCAGUUCUGGAAGGGUGGAUACUUUUGCAUUUUUGGAUUCCUGGCUGAUGACCCCUCUUGAGUUGAAUACAUGUUGUGUAUGGGAGAAAACUUCCUUUUUGGAUCAAGGCACUGAGAUUUUGAGGAUGUUAUCACAACAGAGUCAGUCACUGCCUUUGACUCUCCCAGCUUGAUUGCUCUCUUCUGCCUGUUCUUUGCAUAUAUAGAGAGUUUUGUAUAUCAAUUAUACUUUUUUGCCUGUGUGUUUCUGGUUUCUUGGGAAAAUGACAUAUUACUCAGUGGUGUCUGGUAUAUAAUAGAGCUCAGUAAAAGCUGAUUGUUUAGAUAAUUUCUAGAGUUGAAAUAGAUAGAAGCAGCGAGUUAUCAGAGAAGUUGAAACUCAAGUUGAAAAUAGAAAUAGUUUAUGAAGCAAAGGUAUGGCAUGGUGUAUAAUUCAGAUGCCAACAUAUGACUAGAAUACUCCCACUUUAUGAUCUCUGAAUGGCCUUUUGGAAACCCACAGCCAAGUUAUCUUUUCUACAAUUUUUGAUCAGAUAAAAUAUUCACUUCUUAAUGCAGUAUUGACUUUUAAAAAUUUAAAAACUUCUGCAAUUGCAUAAUUGUAGUAAAAUUUACAUUCUGUUUAAUGCUAUAAGGAUUCACUAGCAAGCAUAUUUUAGAAUUGCUUCUUUUCUAAUGAGAACAACAGAGCAUAUGAUACAACUUUCCAGAUAAAUAUAGCUCUCUCUACAAGUAUUAUCUCACUUCCUACUCACCAUGGUCCAGUGAUUUAUGGAUUAUUAUCAUCCCUAUUCCACAGAUCAGGAAAUUGAGUACUCUGGGCUGUGUCUCUAUUAUCAUGGAACCAUUCAACACUCUUGGCAGUUAUUUACUUCAUUUCAUGGAAUAAUGUAUAGAUUUAUUAUAAAAUAAAUUUUAAUAUUUAAGUAUGAUUUUAUCUCCUUUGUGUCCUGAAUAUAUUUCUAUCAUUCAUUUUUUUCUUUUAUCAAAAAUAAAAAUCAAAUUUGUGUACAUUGAUUCACCAUUAAGACUUGAAAUAUGAACUGCUGCCUAGAAGAAGAUCAACAUUUACAGGGCAAAGUGCAGGACCAGCGUCUGAAGGAGUUGCAUUUAAAUUGUUUAUGACACUGAAAUAGUUACUCAAGGGUAGCCAGAAGAGCUGAAGUAAGUAACCUGAGAUGUUAAAAUGAUCUUUGUCACAGACAUUUAAAAAGAGCAAAGAACUGUGGAUUAAAGCAAAACUUAUUUGCAUUUAUUCACUCCCCAUUCCUAAGUGGAUUUUGAAACAUUUCUACUUGGAUAAUGUAGUAGGAAAACCACAGUUUAUAUUGAUGUUUUAUCACCAACAAGCGUUGUUUAAGGCUAAAAUUAAAUGAAAGAACUUGGAACCACUUUUCAAGUCAGAGCAGGAGAAAACAUUUGAAACAACUGAGAUGUAAUUAUUUAAAUAUAAUCUUGCAUAAAAAAGAUAAAUCAGUCAUUUCAUCUUGUUUCUUUUUCCAAAUCAUUUUAUGUGACAAAAUAACUCUCACCAUAAUUUAACUAUAUCCUUUCUAUUUUAUGAACUUAUUAUAGUGUGCUGACAAAUUAUUGCUUAUACUAUUUCCAUAGAGUGAUAAAGGCAGAAUGUUCCACUCAGUAUAAGGUUUAUGUUUACUGGAGGCAAGAUUUCCUUCAGCAUUAUUUUAAGGAACUUGGAUCCUUGCCACAAAAGUUCCUUGCCACAAAAAGUUCAAGUGACCACUUAGGAUUUCUCAUUAAGAACUACUGUAUGCAAACACAUGAGCUGUGGAUUGAUUCUUACUUAAUUACUAGACCACCAACUUUGCAAGUGCCAUUAUCUGCAAUAAAAUCUUAGACACUGUACAAAACCAUCAUGAUUUUCCUUCUAAUCUCUCUGGUGUGUUUCAGACCAUCUAUGGAAGGCUCAAAAGUAGUACAUAUAAUUUCACACUUAUGUGUCAAGUUGAUGGAAAAAGUGGGCAUGCUACAAUGCUUUCAGAGUUGCAAUUCAAGUGAGAAAUCCAGCUGCAUAUUAAAUUCAUGGAUGAACAAUGGAAACUUGAAAGCCAUAAUUUCAAGUUUUAUUUCUGCAGGUAUUGGCAUAUGACACCAAAUUAUUAACUCUAGCACAAUACAAAAUUGAACACGUAAGAUUUACAUAGGGAUAAGAGAGCUUUAUGAGGUUUAGGAAUGUGCAAAAACUGAAGAAUACUUUCAUAACACAGUAGUCAGUCUUAUGAAGUAUAAACUGAGCAAUAGUUUCCAAGUACAACCUCCACCUGAUAUGGUAACUUACAUGUAGUCCUCAUAGAAUUGGGCAAGAAAGCACUGAAAUGCAAAAACAAUGUCAGGUAGUAGGUAUACAUUUGUUAGCUCUGAUUGCUGAUACAUAAGGAUAACUCAUAAUCUGAUAAUAAAAGUACCUUUAACACAGAGACUUUUGUAGGUAAGAAAGGGGUUAGUGAAAUUUUACAAGUAGCAGUUUGCUCAUAAGUUGCUCCCAUUACAUUCCAAAAUAUAGACGUUUAUAAGUCAAUACCCUCAUAUGCCAGCAAUGAAGAGUUUUCUCUCAUAUGUUUCUCUUCAUAUGUUAUUGAAAUGAAAUACUCAUGUGGUUUUUGUAAGAUGGCAUGGCAGGUAUAUUUAUACUAACACACAGAAGUUUCUCUUCAUAUGUUAUUGAAAUGAAAUACUCAUGUGGUUUUUAUAAGAUGGCAUGGCAGGUAUAUUUAUACUAACACAUAGAAGAAAACCUACUAAGAAAUUAGAGUUGACAAAGGCCCCAGUGCACAGAUCAUGCAUCAGAAUAUUUAAAUAAAGAUCUCAAUAAUCCCCAAACUGAUUCACAGAUUCAAUGCAAUUCUAAUAAAAAUCCCAGAUUUCUUUGUAGAGAUUGGCAAGAUGUUUCUAAAAUGCAUGUGAAAUUUCAAGAGAUGUAGACCAACCAAAGCAAUACAGAAAAAGAAGAAUAGAAGUGAAGACUCACACUUUGAAUUUCAAAAUUUACCACAAAGGAUUAGUAAUCAAGACAAUGUGGCACUGGCAUAAAGAAAGGUCAGAGACCAGAUAAAAAUAGGAAGCACCAAUAUCCAACUUGGAAUGUGAAUGGGCAUCUAUGAAAGUCCUAUGAAUUAUUUCCCUAAUUUUGCUAAUGAAAGCAUUAUUUGAUGAGAAAGUUGAAACAAGGAGAAGCUAAGUUUAAUGUUGGAUGUCAAGUAAUGAUAAAAGAAUGGAGACCGAAGAGUUCCAACAACUUCUCCCAGCCCAGAGUCACAAAGCUGUUAAGCAGCAAAACUAGAUUUGAAUCUAGGUUGAGCAUUUGCUUUUUCUGCUAUACAGUGAAAAUUCUGAAUCUCAUCAAUGGAAUGGAGUUAGGAAAUUUGGUGGGAAGAGUAGUAAUUUGCCAUUGGUUGUAAAGGUUUUCAGACACCAAGAAAAGGAAUACGUGAAUGGAAAAAAUUUUUCUCUUGAUUCCUCUCCCCUGAGGAUCAGUGGACCUGCACUAUGGAAGCUAAAGCUAGCACAGCUUCAGUGUGAGGACUAACUACCACUGCUAGUUAAAAAUGCACUCCCAGGCCACACAUGUAAGAAGCUGGAAUCAGGAGCAGAGUCGGACUCAAAUCAAGGAACUUUGAUGUGGUAUAUAGGAGUCCCAGAUGGCAUCUGCACUGCUGGAUCAAAUACCCACCCAUGCUGACACAAUUUUGUAUUUCGGUAUCAUCAAAUGUAUGUUUCUCAUAUGUUAUGACCUAUUGUUGUGUAGAAAGUUUUCCUCCACCAAAAAA